AAAGGUGCAUGAGUGGUGUUUGGUUUGUUACGGGUGGUUGGCUCUUUGCUUGCGCAACAACUUCUACCCGGCAUACCUCUUCAGUCUUGUGUCAAUGCUUGUAUUGCAUUGAAUGCACGGUGGGUUUCUUGUGUUGCAUGCCUAAUUAAUGGUAUCGUUUGGUGAAUUGGUUUUCCUUUCGUCUUGCAUUGCCUAUGUGAUGUGAGAUGAACCUUGAAGCAGCCUUUGUGAUCCACUCUUUUGAUGCAUAAGCAUUGAUUUUGUGGCCCAUUGAGUGUUGCUUGGUUUCAUGGAUAUGGAACCUGGUGUGGGCAUGGAAUCUUAAUGGUUCCUUGUUUGCCCAAGUUUAGCUUUUCUAAAACGAUUGUCUAUCAUGUGUUAACGUGGUAGACUACUUCGAAUAUGAAUGCUACCUGG
rnacentral:misc_RNA from 1 species